UUCAUAUUUGAAGUAUACUCUUGGAGAAGAAACUUCAAAUUUUUUUUGCGGGAAAUAGAUUUACAAGGAAUUUUAAAAGUGUUUUAAAAGAUUUACAAGGGAUUUUAAAAUGGUUUAAAAAUGUUUACAAGAGAUUUUAAAGGGCUUUAAAAGAUUUAUAAAGGUUUUUAAAGAUUUUUAAAGGAUUUAAAAGAGUUCUUAAAGAUUUACAAGAGAUUUUAAAAGUGUUUAACAAGAUUUACAAGAGAUUUUAAAAGGUUUUAAUAAAAUUUACAAGAGUUUUAAAAGGGUAUUCUUGUAAAUUCUUUAAAAAUCUUUCAAAAAUCCUUGUACAUCUUUUAAAACCCUUUUAAAAUUUCUUGUAAAUGUUUUAAAACCCUUUUAAAAUCCCUUGUAAACCCUUUUAAAAUCCCUUGUAAAUCUUUUAAAACACUUUUAAACACUUUAAUUUUUU
rnacentral:sRNA from 1 species